rnacentral:rRNA from 1 species
AAGCUCGUAGUUGAAUUUCGGGGUUCUACCGUUGGUCGGGCUAACCAGUCUGUACUAGCGUGUAGAAUUCUUACCUUCUGGGGAACCAUCAUGUCAUUAAUCUAGCGUGGUGGGAAACCAGGACCUUUACCUUGAAAAAAUUAGAGUGUUCAAAGCAGGCUUACGUCUGAAUACAUUAGCAUGGAAUAAUAAAAUAGGACGGUGGUCCUGUUUUGUUGGUUUCUGAAUCACCGUAAUGAUUAAUAGGGAUAGUUGGG